ACAUCUUCUCAUCCAAAACCUCUCAUCUCCAACAUCCCUGUAGGUCAAUUCCUCAGGAUGAAGCGCAUUUGUUCAUCGGACACAUUCUUUGAGGAACAGGCUAAGGACCUCACAAAUCGAUUCAAAGAAAGAGGAUAUAGGCAGCAGGAUAUAUCAAAAGCAUAUUCAAGAGCAAAGAAUACCCCCAGGAACAAUCUGUUGAUGCAACCCAAGCAGAAAAACCCGGAUAACCAGGGAGCUACGGAGAAGAGUAAGGGAACAUGUUCUGAGCAUCGAAGCAGCCAAGAAUGAACAGGAUGCCACUAAACUCAAGACAUUGGCUAGGCACUUUAAAGAGCAUCAUGCAUGCAAUGGACAUUUAUUGAAGGUACCUGGCAUAUCUGCGGAUUUUGAGUUCAGCGCGGGACUGUAUGCACCGACUCAACACCACAUUGUGAUUUUGUAUUAUUACAAAUAUUUUUGUAACACACUUCAUCAUUCACCUAUUCAUUUUACACAUAACUAAUGUAUAAGUACACUGAAUAUGGAUACACCUACAUGCACAUAUUUGUAUAUGCACACAUGCACUUUAUCCAUUAUAUAUAUAUAUAUAUAUUUAUGUGUCAUUUGUUUUUUAAAAUUUAUUCCUCAUUAUGUGAUACCAUUAUUACAUUUGACUCUGUGUUUUUACUAUGUUCCACCUUAUCACGAGCAUGAUCACUUUAUUUUAUUUUGGGCACGAGCACCUUUGCACAUUCU